GAUGAGAACGUAGUGAAAUGCGAUAAGUAAUGUGAAUUGCAGAAUUCAGUGAAUCAUCGAAUCUUUGAACGCAUCUUGCGCUCCUUGGUAUUCUGAGGAGCAUGCCUGUUUGAGUGUCAUUAAAUUCUCAACUACACUGACUUUGAAUUGGUGUGGCUUGGAUUUGGGGGGAAAAUUGUUGUGGGCUUUUUGUAUAGUCUGCUCCCCUGAAAUUGAUUAGCGGUACCUUUGUGGAACUGUCUACAGGUGUGAUAAUUAUCUACAUCUUAGACAUCUGCUGGAAUGCUGCUUUCUAAACCUUACUUGUAUUGACAAUCUUGACCUCAAAUCAGGUAGGACUACCCGCUGAACUUAAGCAUAUCAAUAAGCGGAGGA
rnacentral:misc_RNA from 1 species